rnacentral:rRNA from 1 species
AUACAUUGAGCAAAAUCUCAACUGUUUUAGAAGAGAAGCAUUUAUUAGAUAAAAAACCAAUAUAUGUUUUUAAAGCAUAAAAAUUGGUGAUGUACAAUAACUAAGCAAAUCGCACAGUGCAAACUGGCGAUAAAUCAUUCAAGUUUCUGACCUAUCAGCUUUCGACGGUAAGGUAUUGGCUUACCGUGGCAGUGACGGUUAACGGGGAAUUAGGGUUCAAUUCCGGAGAGGGAGCCUGAGAAACGGCUACCACAUCUAAGGAAGGCAGCAGGCGCGCAAAUUACCCAAUUCUAACAGCAUAAGAGAGGUAGUGACAAGAAAUAACAGUACAAGGCAGUUAAAAUGCUUUGUAAUUGGAAUGAUAGAAAUUUAAAUACUUUUUAAAGUAUCAAUUGGAGGGCAAGUCUGGUGCCAGCAGCCGCGGUAAUUCCAGCUCCAAUAGCGUAUAUUAAAAUUGUUGCAGUUAAAAAGCUCGUAGUUGAAUUUUUGUUAGAAAUAACCGGUCUGCUUUUAUUAAUAAAAGUGGUAUCUUGGUGUGUUUUUAGCAAUAAUGUCCUUUGAAAUGUUUUUUACUUUAUUGUAAAAAGCAAUUUUCAGGAUUUUUACUUUGAGAAAAUUAGAGUGUUUCAAGCAGGCUAACGUUUUGAAUACUGCAGCAUG